AGACAAACAAAUUAGAAUCAUAUCUCUCUCACACGUGUGUGCAUACACAAAUAGAAGUUUGCAUGUGGAUGGAUACUCUAUAAAUAAGAGUGGAUUGGAACUAAAGUUAUAACAACCUAUACACUCUCUAAUAUGAAGGCAUUCUACAUAGUAAUCUUUCUUUUGGCUUCCAUCAUCUUCGUUUCUUCAUCUAUAACAGCUCAGAAAUUAUCCCAAACAGAAGAAAAAAGUGCUCUUGGGCGUAAGCUUAUGCAGGUGGUUACUACACCUACAUGCGGCGGCAGAUCGAAACAAUAUACAAGCUGCCUGCCAAAACCACCUCCGAAAAAGAAGUGUACGAAAUACAGUCGCAAUUGCCCUUGAAUAGAGAUGGUAAUAUAUAUUAAGGGUGCUAAUUGUAAUGAAAUAAGAGUGAAUACAUGGCAGAGAAGAAUAAUUUGGCUUUGUGUCCAAGUCAAAAAACAAAAGAAAAAUAAUUUGGCUUUGUGUCACACAAGGCAAGCUUGCAGGAAUUUGUGAUCGAGGAGGAGGAGGAUUAAUAAUACAGUUAUUAUGUUUAGUUGUCGUUUUGGAAAGUACUCUAUAUGUAGUAUAUAGUGUAAUAUAUGAAUAUGUGUGUACGUUUUGAAAGUA